GUCUUUGUAGUACAUUAAAUACACUGGUCUUGUAAACCAGAAAAGGAGAACAAC
rnacentral:tRNA from 1 species